rnacentral:rRNA from 1 species
UACGGAGGGUGCGAGCGUUAUUCGGAAUAACUGGGCGUAAAGGGCACGCAGGCGGACUUUUAAGUGAGAUGUGAAAUCCCCGGGCUUAACCUCGGAAUUGCAUUUCAUACUGGGAGUCUAGAGUCCUUUAGGGAGGGGUAGAAUUCCACGUGUAGCGGUGAAAUGCGUAGAGAUGUGGAAGAAUACCGAAGGCGAAGGCAGCGCCUUGGGAAUGUACUGACGCUGAUGUGCGAAAGCGUGGGGAGCAAACAGG